rnacentral:rRNA from 1 species
UACGUAGGGUGCAAGCGUUAAUCGGAAUUACUGGGCGUAAAGCGUGCGCAGGCGGUUUUGCAAGCCAGAUGUGAAAUCCCCGGGCUCAACCUGGGAACUGCAUUUGUGACUGCCUAGCUAGAGUACGGUAGAGGGGGAUGGAAUUCCGCGUGUAGCAGUGAAAUGCGUAGAUAUGCGGAGGAACACCGAUGGCGAAGGCAAUCCCCUGGACCUGUACUGACGCUCAUGCACGAAAGCGUGGGGAGCAAACAGG